rnacentral:rRNA from 1 species
GACAGAGGGUGCAAACGUUGCUCGGAAUCACUGGGCGUAAAGGGCGCGUAGGCGGACAAGUAAGUCGGGCGUGAAAUCCCUAGGCUCAACCUAGGAACUGCACUCGAAACUGCAUGUCUUGAGUACCGGAAAGGAAAGCGGAAUACCUGGUGUAGAGGUGAAAUUCGUAGAUAUCAGGUGGAACACCAGUGGCGAAGGCGGCUUUCUGGACGGUAACUGACGCUGAGGCGCGAAAGCGUGGGGAGCAAACAGG